AAACCGAUAAAAAACAAGACAAACCAAACCAUGUAACCCACUCACUCCUCUUCCUCGUUUACUGUUCUCACAUUCAUAGACACUCUUUGGAAAACACAAAACAGUUAACACCACUUUUCCCUUUUUCUCCUUUACUUUACUUUAUCACUACUUCCCACACCCCCCUUUUCAACCCCCAUAUUUUAUUCCUCUCCACAAUCCUCAACAAUUCCCAAUCCAUUAUUUGUCUUUCAUGUUUCGUUAACCCAAUAAUUAACCACUUUCACACACAGAUUCAGAAUAAUCCACUUUCAACAAGGUGGAUCGUUAUGUUGUGUGAUUCAAACAUGCUUCUAUAUUUACCUGAUGAUGUGUUUGCUAUAAUUUCUCGAUCCUUUUCACCUAGAGAUAUAUGUAAUCUGAGUUUAUGCUGCAAGAGCUUGAAUUCUCUUGUGACUUCUGAGAAAAUCUGGUUGACUCAAUGUGAAGUUUUGGGGAUAGUGCCUCAUAAGGAUCUUGUUGAGUGGAGAAAGGGUGUGUCUUGUUAUAAGGCACUUUGUCGUUUUCUGUUGAAAGUUCAACCGUUGAUUGGGAUAUGGGUUCAUCAGAAUCCGGAAUUAGGGAACGUUGUGUAUGUGAUGCCUGGUUUUGUUUCUGUUGUUGGGUGUAGGAUAAUUCCUCAAGAGCUUGGUCCGUUAGGUAUGGAAGACGGUCCGAUUUUAUGGGCGUCGGUUUUUGAGGUUGUUGCUGAUUUUGAUGGUUUGGCUAUGUUUUUCCUUCAUGGGAGGGAAAAGGGUGUUGAUUAUGUUUAUCCUGGUUCGGCUAAGUCGAUUGAUAAAUUUUGUAAUAUAUUGUUGCUUGAGGUUGAGCCCGAGAAAAGUAAAAAUGUUGGUUCUUUGUUGGAGAGUAAGAGUUUUGCGCAUCAGUCGGGUUUGGAGUUGUCUAGGAAGGUUGGUAGGUCGAAUAGUGAUAUUUGUAGGUCACGAAUUGUGAGUGAGGGAAAUGUUAGUUUUAGCAAAUUAGCUUUUUCUGAUAGAAGAAAGUUGCUUGAGGUUACUACUAGUCAAGUUCGACAAAAGGUUACGGAUACGGUGAUAGGACCGUUGUUUCCUAGGUUGAGGGAUGAUGAGGAAAACUUUCAGAAAGAUUUGGUGCUCUUGAGGGAAAGAACAUUAGUCCUUAGACAAAUGUACAGGCUUUGUUGUAGUGAGAAUGAGAUUGACUAUAAGGCAAAUUCACAAGAGGUAGUUGGGGCAACGCAGUUAGACUUCGAUGAUAAACCUUCUAGGGCCGUGCCUGAUUCUCUGUUUGAGGAGGAUGGUGGCGAACAAUGCGUCAAGAGAAAAGGAAUUCGCGGAUAUUUCUGGAAUAGUCUUAAACAUAUUCUAGGAAGAUCGAAUUCAGUUAAUGACAGUCAUUCGGCUUCCAAGAAGCUUACUACAAGCGGUGAGAUUAGGCAUGCUAGGCUUCAAGAGUUUCUUAGAUCGAGUGACACGAUAAAGCUUACCUUGAAUGCCUCGAAUAUGAAACUAUCCUCUUAUAGAGCAUGGCCGAAUAUGCACGACAGUAGGUAUGCACUUUACAAAUUACCUUUGCGAGUUCCCGGUGCUGACCAAGAGUAUGCUGGAUUAUGGGGAGGUGCUUUUGGUUGGCCUCCAGGGAAGCCUUCCGAAGACAAGCCUGGAAAGGCUUUGUUUUUUCUUCUCCUCUCUUAUGAGGAGUUUCAGGGUCAACAACUUCUCAUUGCAACCAAAAUAUUGGAAGGCACGCACUAUGUCUUGCAUCCUAAUGGUUCAGCGAUGUUUAUAGCCAAUAUCAACGAACCUUCCUCCGAACCUUUUCCUUGGAACACUGAUGCAGACUCACUGCCGGUGAAUAUCAAGCAUGCUUUCACAGGAGAGGGUAUUGCAAGUGGUUACGGGUUCAGAUAUCCUGGAUCAAAGCCGGGCUCGCUCUUUGUUUUUCAUAAUGGUAUAAUCGCAUUCAUUUGGAAGGAAACAAGGGCUGUUUUGACGUUGCAAAGACUUAAUUUGCAAGAUCUUUUGAAGAAGGGUGAAAGGAUACCUUCUCUGCUUCCCAUUGCCAAUUUUUCAUAUUUGACAAAGUCCUACUCUAAUGUGUUUGCCGGCAUUCCCACCUCUUCCAAUUCUUUGUCUUCACCAAGGAUUAAGUAAAUCAACGACCUUUCCAGUUUCCCGUCUCUACUGAAUGUUUGUAGAAUAGCGAAAGCCGGAUCUCCAGAAAAGUUUAAUAAUGUUUAUGGAAAGGGCGUCGCUAGUAGAUUAGUGCACUCAGGACACAAUGGUUUUUUGUCUGCUCAUGUUUACAAUGAUAAGGUGCAAGAUUGUCAUUGAUGGUGUUGCUUUACUUCCGGCUCUCCAGGAAAACACUCCCUAGUUGUUGCUUAUUGAAACCAAAGAUAGAGGAUGCAUCCCUCUAUGUCAAGUAAUGUAUUAUGAAGUUAAUUUCGUGAUGAAAUUGUCGUAUCAUACUCUUUGUUGUAGUAUAUAUGGGAGAAAGUAUAUAAUAAAGUUGUUGUCUACAUUAUGUAUAAGUUGGCAUGAAUGUUGCCAUUGUGUGCCAGACAAGUUACAUUACAUUUCCUUAAAGUAACAGCUCCUGCAUGGUUGCACAUUCUGUCCCAAAAAAGUAAUUAAAAUCAUCCAUAUAUGAUAUGAUAAGGAAAUUUGAUUUU